rnacentral:rRNA from 1 species
GACGAACGCUGGCGGCGUGCUUAACACAUGCAAGUCGAGCGGUAAGGCCCUUCGGGGUACACGAGCGGCGAACGGGUGAGUAACACGUGGGUGACCUGCCUCUAGCUCUGGGAUAAGCCUGGGAAACUGGGUCUAAUACCGGAUAUGACUCCACGGCGCAUGUUGUGGGGUGGAAAGCCUUGUGUGGCUAGAGAUGGGCCCGCGGCCUAUCAGCUUGUUGGUGGGGUGAUGGCCUACCAAGGCGACGACGGGUAGCCGGCCUGAGAGGCGA